AAAUUGAAGAGUUUGAUCAUGGCUCAGAUUGAACGCUGGCGGCAGGCCUAACACAUGCAAGUCGAACGGUAACAGGAAGCAGCUUGCUGCUUCGCUGACGAGUGGCGGACGGGUGAGUAAUGUCUGGGAAACUGCCUGAUGGAGGGGGAUAACUACUGGAAACGGUGGCUAAUACCGCAUAACGUCGCAAGACCAAAGAGGGGGACCUUCGGGCCUCUUGCCAUCAGAUGUGCCCAGAUGGGAUUAGCUUGUUGGUGAGGUAACGGCUCACCAAGGCGACGAUCCCUAGCUGGUCUGAGAGGAUGACCAGCCACACUGGAACUGAGACACGGUCCAGACUCCUACGGGAGGCAGCAGUGGGGAAUAUUGCACAAUGGGCGCAAGCCUGAUGCAGCCAUGCCGCGUGUAUGAAGAAGGCCUUCGGGUUGUAAAGUACUUUCAGCGGGGAGGAAGGUGUUGUGGUUAAUAACCACAGCAAUUGACGUUACCCGCAGAAGAAGCACCGGCUAACUCCGUGCCAGCAGCCGCGGUAAUACGGAGGGUGCAAGCGUUAAUCGGAAUUACUGGGCGUAAAGCGCACGCAGGCGGUCUGUCAAGUCGGAUGUGAAAUCCCCGGGCUCAACCUGGGAACUGCAUUCGAAACUGGCAGGCUUGAGUCUUGUAGAGGGGGGUAGAAUUCCAGGUGUAGCGGUGAAAUGCGUAGAGAUCUGGAGGAAUACCGGUGGCGAAGGCGGCCCCCUGGACAAAGACUGACGCUCAGGUGCGAAAGCGUGGGGAGCAAACAGGAUUAGAUACCCUGGUAGUCCACGCCGUAAACGAUGUCUACUUGGAGGUUGUGCCCUUGAGGCGUGGCUUCCGGAGCUAACGCGUUAAGUAGACCGCCUGGGGAGUACGGCCGCAAGGUUAAAACUCAAAUGAAUUGACGGGGGCCCGCACAAGCGGUGGAGCAUGUGGUUUAAUUCGAUGCAACGCGAAGAACCUUACCUGGUCUUGACAUCCACGGAAGUUUUCAGAGAUGAGAAUGUGCCUUCGGGAACCGUGAGACAGGUGCUGCAUGGCUGUCGUCAGCUCGUGUUGUGAAAUGUUGGGUUAAGUCCCGCAACGAGCGCAACCCUUAUCCUUUGUUGCCAGCGGUCCGGCCGGGAACUCAAAGGAGACUGCCAGUGAUAAACUGGAGGAAGGUGGGGAUGACGUCAAGUCAUCAUGGCCCUUACGACCAGGGCUACACACGUGCUACAAUGGCGCAUACAAAGAGAAGCGACCUCGCGAGAGCAAGCGGACCUCAUAAAGUGCGUCGUAGUCCGGAUUGGAGUCUGCAACUCGACUCCAUGAAGUCGGAAUCGCUAGUAAUCGUGGAUCAGAAUGCCACGGUGAAUACGUUCCCGGGCCUUGUACACACCGCCCGUCACACCAUGGGAGUGGGUUGCAAAAGAAGUAGGUAGCUUAACCUUCGGGAGGGCGCUUACCACUUUGUGAUUCAUGACUGGGGUGAAGUCGUAACAAGGUAACCGUAGGGGAACCUGCGGUUGGAUCACCUCCUUA
rnacentral:rRNA from 3 species